ensembl:lncRNA
CUUUAACAGUUUGAAUUUCUACUUCAGGCAUUUGGACUGUCUUUACAUUGAAAACUAUAUGAAAAUUAUGUUUUAUAGUUUUCCACUUAUAUUUUAAUGCAUAUUUAGAUUAAUAACUAAAGGCAUUUUGCAGAUACAUGGAAAAAAUGUGAUAUCUCAAGGUACUGACUCUCAGCACUUCCUCAGAAUUAUUAGAUACAAUCUCUGAUUUUAGAGAUCCUCCCUCUUUUCUACUGCCUUCUUUCAACUUGUAAAUUAAAUGAUUUGAUACUUUUCUGAAGACUUUCAUGGUUCUGGUGGAUUGCCACAAGGAGCAGGCUGUGGAAUCCUGCUUUCUUUGGGAUUAAAUGCUUUUGCAUUUGUGUCUUCAUGCAGAUAUAUCCUGGAUUACUUUCUCUGAGACCCUGCUGGAGUGAGUGAGGAGUAGACCAAAGACUCUGGAAAAAAAAAAUGACUCUGGGGAAAAAAAAAAAAAAAAAAGCAACGAAUGAACGAACGUUUUAAGAGGUUCGAAAGGAAGGAAGGAAGGAAGGAAGGAAGGAAGGAAGGAAGGAAGGAAGGAAGGAAGGAAAAAGAAAAGAGGAAAGAGUAAGUGAAUGGGGUAAAAGGAACUUCCUCCAAAAGCCACCUUAUGUUUCCCAGAGUCAUGCUUUAAAUCUAUCACUGGUAACCAGUAAUUUGGGACUGGCAUUGUCCUCUCCAGGCUCCUCUUUUAUAUCACAAUGUCCCCAACAUGAGGGAGCACAUUGGAUCUCUAAUAUCUUUGAAUAAAUUUGAUUGUAUGUUGUUUUUUCUCAAGACAGGAAGGCUCAGGCAGCCAGAGGACACUGGAACAUGUUGAGGAGUCUAGGCUGAAAGGCAGGAAAAAUUGUGAAGAAAAUGAAGACUGGAAAUCAUAAAAACUGUCCAUACCAGCUGCUUUGAGGUCAUCUACAUUUGUUGGCUGCAGGUGGAAAUCUCCUUCACAGAGCCUGAAAUAGAAGGUUGUAAAAUCUGGCCUUUGAGGGAGCCAGACCAAACCAGCCUUUUGUAUAAUUUAUCAUUCACAGAACGUGUUAAGGUGCUUUUGAUCUUUGAAGGCAAUAUCUUUCAAAGUGCUGUGGUGCUUAUGUGUGACCAUUGGUCCUUUUCGGGAGUCCCAGUAUCUUGCUGAUUUCAAUAGUGAGUGAAAGAAUUUUUAAGAUGGUACACUGAUGACUCAGUUUAAUAGAAAGGCUCUAGAACUUGCUGAAAUCCAAUUGUGAGAUAAAGUACGUGAAUGGUGCCUUGAAAACAAUAAAUCACUAAGUAAACCUAAAGCAGUUUAUUGUAAUCAUUUCCAUCAUUGUUGUAUUUGUCAAAUUCUUGAUUUCACAGCGUAUUGAAUGUUCCACGCCUUCUGCCAGAUUAAGGGUGGGCUUCUACCAAAUAUUUGCCAUAAAGAGUGUUUUAAAAUAUAUUCAUAUUUUUCUUUGCAUUUACUCAUACUCCUUUAAGUAAUGUGGUAUAGACACAGAACUAACCAUUUGGUGUCACAAAAAAUGUUGUGAAAAUUUAUAGGCUUUGGUUUAUAGAGACUUGAAGAAGUUUUUCCACCUUUCUGGUAUUUUAUUCCUGUCAGUUUGCAUUGCUUCUUUUCUUUCCCUCUCCUCCUCCGCCAGGUUUGGUUUUAAGCUUUGGAUUCAAAGAAACCCCAAAGUCAAAACAAAAUGGUCAGAACUGCUGACUCUUGUUUUGUAACCUUUUUUUAGUCUAGUAUUCACAGGAAGAGAGGGUGCUGACCAGAACUUGGGCCUAACUUCACCCAAAAUGUUGGCAAAGUUCAGGAACCUUUGAGUGAACUUGUGCCAAGUUAAUGAUAUAUAGCGAACUUCACCAGUUUUCCAAAAACAUUUAAAAUAUAAUUGCAUGAAUAAUAUAAUCCUAUAAAAAGUCAAGUUAGUACUUAACAUUCAAUACUAAUCUGCUAGCUCUUUUUGAUAAA